rnacentral:rRNA from 1 species
CCUACGGGUGGCAGCAGUGAGGAAUAUUGGUCAAUGGGCGCGAGCCUGAACCAGCCAAGUAGCGUGAAGGAUGACUGCCCUACGGGUUGUAAACUGCUUUUAUGAGGGAAUAAAGUGCGGCACGUGUGCCGUUUUGUAUGUACCUCAUGAAUAAGGAUCGGCUAAUUCCGUGCCAGCAGCCGCGGUAAUACGGAGGGUCCGAGCGUUAUCCGGAUUUAUUGGGUUUAAAGGGAGCGUAGAUGGUUUGUUAAGCCAGUCGUGAAAGGUUGUGGCUCAACCGUGGAACUGCAGUUGAAACUGGCUGCCUUGAGUACAGGGGAGGUAGGCGGAAUUCGUGGUGUAGCGGUGAAAUGCUUAGAUAUCACGAAGAACUCCGAUUGCGAAGGCAGCUUACUGAACUGCCACUGACGUUGAUGCUCGAAAGUGUGGGUAUCAAACAGGAUUAGAUACCCGUGUAGUC